rnacentral:lncRNA from 10 species
CCCCGCGGUCCUAGCGCCCGGCUUACUGCCCGCGCCGCUCUGCGGCAGGCGAGGUGCGGCGCGCCAGAGCGCAGGACUUCCUGGGAGGCAGUCGAGGAGCCCUGGCUUUACAAAGAAAAGCAAAUGAAAGAUGCACUGCGAGAGGCGGGAGGAAGAAACCCUGAGUCUCCCGAGACUCAAAGUUCUCCUGCAGAAUAGAAGCCGAAUAUGACUGAGUUGAGAGAGUCGGAGGGAAGGGGAGUUGAUUUAAUGGACUCGGAUGGCCAUGGCAGUUUCUCUUCCAUUCUUCGGCCACACACACAGAAGCGCAAACUAUGUUUCAGGCGGAGUUUCGAUCUUGUCGCCCAGGCUGCAAUGCAAUGCUGCGAUCUCGGCUCACUGCAACCUCCGCCUCUCGGGUUCAAGCAAUUAUCCUGCCUCAGCCUCCUGAGUAGCUGGGACUACAGGCGCCCACCACCAUGCCCGGCUAAUUUUUGUAUUUUUAGUAGAGACGGGGUUUCACCAUAUUAGCCAGGCUGGUCUCGAACUCCUGACCUCAGAUGAUCUGCUCCCCUCGGCCUAGCUACAUCUUAUUAAUAAGCAUAAACUAAUUUUAUCUCAACAGUAAAGAUAUUUUCAAUAGGAAAAAAAGAAAAAAAAUGAUGUAUAUGAAGACUAAUAACGAGGGGGAAAGCAGGGAAAAAACGUAAGUAUAGUAUGAUUACCACUAAACAAAGAUAAAUGCAUAAUAAGGUAGGGGUUCAGGAGGGAAACCUGAAGGAAAUACCCCAAAAUACUGGCACUAGUGAUGUCAGGAUCAUGAAUUUACUGGUGUUUUUGCUUUGUUUUCCAGAGUUUCAGCUGUGUGAUUCUAUUACUCAAAUAAUGAAAUACACAUAUAUAUUUACACAUGUAUUCAAUACAUAUAUACAUAUAUUCAAUACAUAUAUAUGAAAUACAAAUGUAUGUGUAUAUAUGUGUGUAUUUCAUUAUUUAAGUAAUAGAAUCAUUUAAGUAAUAGAAUCACACUACUGAAACUCUGGAAAACAGGGCAAAAUAGAACAGAAUCACAGGACUUUAUAUAUAUAUAUAUGUUUAUAUAUAUAUGUCUAUAUAUAUAUGUCUAUACAUAUAUAUAAAGCUAAAUAAUGCCUUUUUAAAACAAAUUACCUACUUCCUAGCAGAUAGUGUUUUAUAUGCUCCAGAGCUGUUUGCAAUUAUUGCUAACAAUGAUUUCAUUCAAUCCAUCAUUUACUGAGAGCCAUAUCCCAGCCUCCAGGAGGAAACAAAAUAAAUGAGAUAAAGUCCCGUCCUCAUUAUGUCCCUUGAUAAUAACAAUGGUGGUGGUUCUCCCAUUGUAAAUCAGUGUGAGCAUUAAGGGUCACUGUAUCAGUCAGGAUGCCACCAGGGAAACAGAGAAAGAGGAAGAAGGAGGGGGCUGGGGAGGAGGAGGGAGAGAGAGAGGGGAAAAGGAAAAGAAAGGAGAGGGAGAGGGAGGUUUAUUACAAGAAAUUAACUGGCUUACCGAAAUCUGUAGGGCAGGCUGCAGGCUGCAGGCUGGCAGUUCUGGGACAGAAGCUAACCCUGCAGUCCACAGGCAGAAUUUUUCCUUCCUCAGGGAAACCUUGGUUCUGAUUUUAAGGUCUUUCAACUGAUCUGAUGAAGCUCACCCAGAUUAUCUAGGAUCGUCUGCCUUACUAAAGUCAAACGAACACUCAUCUCUAUCUCGGCAGAUGUGAUCAACAUCUACAAUCAGUUGACUUUGCAUCAUUAGUUCUGAGGUUGAGACACCCUAGUCUACACCAUCCUUGUAGGAGUUCGGCCACAAAUUACAGUCUCGUUCCUCAAAAAACAGGUCUGCAAAGAAAAUAAACUUGUUGGCCAGGCGCAGUGGCUCACACCUGUGAUCCCAGCACUUUGGGAGGCUGAGGCGGGCAGAUCACGAGGUCGGGAAAUCGAGACCAUCCUGACUAGCUGCAGAAUGGCGUGAACCCGGGAGGCGGAGCUUGCAGUGGGCCGAGAUGGCGCCACUGGACUCCCGCCUGGGUGACAGAGCGAGACUCUGUCUCAAUAAAAGAAAAAGAAAAUAAACUUGUUAAAUUUUCUUAA